UACGAAUGGCUCUAUAGGAAGUCUUUACGGGACGAGAUCGUACAGGGCGAGAUAAGACAGGCGGCGACAUUAACUUAAGCGACAUAGCGGGUACGACAGAAGAAAACACGUGGUUGUAUAAGAAGUGUUUACAUGACGGAAUUAGAAUGUAGGGCGGGGCAAGGCAGGGUGAGAUAUAAACAGAAGUGGUGUGACGGGUGAAACGAGACGGUUUUUUAUGGAACUUUUACCGAACGAGGUUGAACAAAAUGGAAAAAGGGCAGUGUAAGACGCGGAGGAGGGUAAUAAAAGGCUUAAUUAUGGAACUUUUACCGAACGAGGUUGAACAAAAUGGAAAAAGGGCAGUGUAAGACGCGGAGGAGGGUAAUAAAAGGCUUAAUUAUGGAACUUUUACCGAACGAGGUUGAACAAAAUGGAAAAAGGGCAGUGUAAGACGCGGAGGAAUGUAAUAAAAGGCUUAAUUAUGGAACUUUUACCGAAUGAGGUUGAACAAAAUUAAAAAAGAGCAGUGUAAGACGCGGAGGAGGGUAAUAAAAGGCUUAAUUAUGGAACUUUUACCGAACGAGGUUGAACAAAAUUUAAAAAGAGCAGUGUAAGACGCGGAGGAGUGUAAUAAAAGGCUUAAUUAUGGAACUUUUACCGAACGAGGUUGAACAAAAUUUAAAAAGAGCAGUGUAAGACGCGGAGGAGGGUAAUAAAAGGCUUAAUUAUGGAACUUUUACCGAACGAGGUUGAACAAAAUUAAAAAAGAGCAAUGUAAGACGCGGAGGAGUGUAAUAAAAGGCUUAAUUAUGGAACUUUUACCGAACGAGGUUGAGCAAAAUUAAAAAAGGGCAGUGUAAGACGCGGAGGAGGGUAAUAAAAGGCUUAAUUAUGGAACUUUUACCGAACGAGGUUGAACAAAAUUAAAAAAGAGCAGUGUAAGACGCGGAGGAGGGUAAUAAAAGGCUUAAUUAUGGAACUUUUACCGAACGAGGUUGAACAAAAUGGAAAAAGGGCACUGUAAGACGCGGAGGAGGGUAACAAAAGGCUUAAAUACAAGAUCCGUAAUGUGAAAGUCGGAGCAAGGCGAGAUGGGACGGGAAAGACAGUACCUAUGGG